GGUGAGAUGGCCGAGUGGUCUAAGGCGCCAGACUAAGGCGGCGUCGAGCCUGUUUAGGCUCACAUCGAGUGUGAAACAGGGACGACGCGGUUCAUCUGGUCCGAAAGGGCGUGAGUUCGAAUCUCGCUCUCAUCA